AACAGGUUUUGGAAAAUGAUUCACAAGGUAUAAUAACAUCUUAUUAUAACUUGUGACUCAUUUUCCAAAACCUGUU